UACGUAGGGCGCAAGCGUUGUCCGGAAUCAUUGGGCGUAAAGCGCGUGUAGGCGGCUCGAUAAGUCUGCUGUGAAAGUCCAGGGCUCAACCCUGGAAUGCCGGUGGAAACUGUCGAGCUAGAGUCCGGAAGAGGCGAGUGGAAUUCCUGGUGUAGCGGUGAAAUGCGCAGAUAUCAGGAGGAACACCAAUGGCGAAGGCAGCUCGCUGGGACGGUACUGACGCUGAGACGCGAAAGCGUGGGGAGCAAACAGG
rnacentral:rRNA from 1 species